rnacentral:lncRNA from 1 species
GCUCCUGAGCUCAAGCUAUCCACUUGCCUCAGCCUCCCAAAUUGCUGAGAUUAGAAGAAUGAGCCACUGUGCCUGUGACUUACUUCUAACCCACAGAAUAGAGCAACAGUGAGAGGAUGUCAAUUCUGUGAUAGAUUGCAAAAUAUUGUAAGUUCCUAGCAGUCUUUCUCAUUGGUUUCAAUAAAAAAAAGCUGCUGUGCUGGAGGGACCCAUGAGGCAAAGAACUGAGAGCAGCCUUUAGCUAACAGCCGGCAAGGAAUGAGGUGCUUGGUCCAGCAAUCACAGAGAAACUGAAUCCUGCUGAUGAUCAUGAGGGUGAGCUUGGAAGCAGAUUCUGUCCCAGAUGAACUUUGAUUGUGUCUUGUUAGAAACCCUGGACCAACUCCUUGAUUGCACCUGUGAGAGGCCCUGAAGCGGAGGGCCCAGCUAAGGUGUGUCUGGAUUUCUGACCCACAGAAACUGAGAUCAUAAAUGUGUGGUUUUAAGCCCGUAAGUUUUGGAAUACAGUAGAUCUUCAUUAUUCACAGAUUUUGCACUUGCAAAUUUGCUUACUCGCUAAAAUUUAUUUGUAUCCCUAAAAUCAGUACUCCAGCACUUUCACAGUCAUUUACGGCAUCUGCAGAGCAGUGAAAAAUUUGAAUUGCCUGAGAUACAUGCUCCCUGCUGAAGUCGCACAAGCUGGCCAAUCCUGCUAAUCCUUUAAAACUCACCUGGAGGGAAGGCCUCCUUCUGCAAAGCCUCUCUUGAUGCAGAUUAUCAGCUUUCACUCUCUACCAGAUGGCAAGGAUAUUGCUGUUGGCUCAUAGGAUGUGAACAGUGGUGUUGAGAUUACCCUCAUUUGGCUGAUGAUGUCAUUGAGGCCCAGAGAAGGUAAGUAAUGUACCAAGGUUACAGACUAGUAAGUGACAGAGAUGGGUUUUGAGCCCCAUUCUUCUACAUUGUGUGCAAUAGCUCAUAUCAAGGUCACUAAAGCUGAAGACUGAAUUAUUUAUUCAAAUACUGCCAUCAUGCACCAAUAUUCUCAACAGGUAGGACACCUGGCAGGGCCUGGCUUUGGGGCUAACUUCUGCAGCUCUUUUGAUUGCCCCCACCUUACAGUUUUUGGCACAGAGCACUGUGUAGCUGGCACUUCUCUACUGGCCCGAAUGAGAAAACUUCCUCAGAGCAAAAUGUCAAGCACCAAAUAAGAUUCAUGUUUACUGUGAAGUGAUUGCUGCUUUUUAAAUGCUUAUCAGAAGCCGAAGGACAAACUCAGUAGGUUGAUUCAUGCUGAGCUCGACUACCUCCGUGAGAAAUGACUCUCCUGUAGGGCUCGAUGACCUUCAUGUCAAUGCGCUGCUCUUGUUCUCCAAUGACCACUGUCCUCCAAAGCCGGUUGUCCUCCCGUUCCUCUUCGGCCGUAUAUUCUGGAAUAGACUCUGACUCUUGGCCAGAAUCUUUGUUGGCUGUGGGAUCUUCUGGAAACAAAGCACAGAGCAAGGCUGAAGGAGCAAGACCUCCACAGUGCAGCUAAACAGCCAAAUGAGUCUCCCGCAAGUCAGGAAAACUGGAUAAAAAGAGGCCUAAAUGUGAGCAAGAGCUAUCAUGUUUGGCUUCAAGUCCUGACAACUCUGUAUAUGAUCUUCAGUGCCCUUUACCUGGCCGAAGUAUCCUCCCAGGUAACAUUCUUUGAACUCACCCAAGCAGUCACCAGCUCUUAUGCCAAUCUCGCUUGACAUUGGUUCCCAUAACAUAAGUGACAAUCUUAUGUGUAGGCUCCCUCCUCUCAUUGUAGUAUGCAUCUUCCCGCUCAGCUGCCUUUCAUUUAAUAGAAGCAGAGCUGGAGAAGUCAUUUUUUAACCAAGCUUAAACUAACAAAACAAAGGUAGAGACAUACCCUACUGUAGUAUAAUAAGAAAUGUAUUUGGUCUUUGGCCCUGGUUCCAGGCACAGAGGUCUUAAAACCCUUGUCAUUUCCUAAGGUGGAUAGUGUCAGAAUUGAAUUAUAGGACACCCAGUUGGUGUUCAUUAGAAAAUUGCUUGGUGUGUGGCAAACAAAACAAAACAAAACCCUACACAUCUGGUCACAGAAGUGUUCAGUGUGAGAGCAGAGUAGGAGAAAACAGUUUGUUGCCUUCACCUAAAACCAGAAAUGACAGGAUUCCUAAGCACGAAAUAUUUUGAAGACCAUUUGGCAUACCCUUCAACUCUGGAAUUCUGGCUCUGGCCUUGUCCUGGAGAAAUUGGCACUGUUCCCCUGUCAGUCAUUAAGCUUUUUCUUUUCUGAAUGGAACAUCACCCAAACUCUGUUCUAGGUAAUGGUUUUAUGUAUUACUUGAAAAAGGUUUCUAUUGACAAGUAAGUUUCAACACUGAGUUUCUAUAUUUCAGGAAUUUGCAGAGCAGUGAUGUCCCAAAGAAUUCUUUGUGAUGAUGAAAAGGUUCUAUAUUUGGCUAUUGAGCACUUGAAAUGAGGCUAGUGCAACUGAAGAAGAGCAUUUUAAAAAAUUGUUUUUAAUUUUAAUUAAUUUAAAUAGCCACAUGUGACUAGCUGCUUACCAUAUCAGAUAACCAUAGCCUUAGUGCCUUUAUCAUUCAAAAGUACAUUGUGAACUUGGAAGAUUCAAAUAAACAUACUGUGGUUACCAAGCAUAUUUGGCCAUAGAACAUUUAGAAAUAAUUCUGUUACAUGACUAGUAUUUUGAAGAAUGCAUUUCAAAUACUACGACAGAAAAGAAAUGUAAUUGCCUUCCUUCUUCCUACCACACUGUAGGCUUGGCUGAGAAUACAUGAUUCAGGAUCUUGGUAUGAUCCUGGAGUUGGUGUAAUGCAAGAGAGUGACCCUGGAAUACAGUGAGAGUCAUAUAAGUUGCAAUUGAAAAAUUAAAUUCCUUUUUGUGUAUGCCUUGGGUUGUAAACCCCUAAAAUGUAGGGUAGUUGUUUUUUAUUGUUGUUGUCUUGGUUUUGGUUUUGAUAGUUAGGAUACUGAGCAUUCUUGAUAUCACAUUUCCAAUUUUAAACAUUCUUACAAUUAUGUGUAAAUGCGGAGAACUUAGACAUUAGUCAGAAUUUGGUACAAUAUACAGUAGCCAAUUAUCACAGGAACUGAAAACAUUGGCAGAUAAGGCUGUGGUCUAGGAGAUAAAAUGCAGCCCACACUAGCGAGCAUCAGUAUUCAAGCCAACUCUUAAAUUAACCAAAUGCAGCCUAACACCUUCAUAUCACACAUUUCUUUUUUCCUCUCACUGUUAUCACUGAAAUCAUAAGUUAGAUGCACAGGAAAUAAUUCUUUCACUGAAUAAUGAAAACGUUGGGAUACAGAAUACCAACGAAGGAAAUGAACAAAUGCUGCUCUCACCAGGCCUCAUGUCUGCAGCACUGGGACUCAGCACGCCCUCUUCAAAGGGGAUGUCCAUUCCUACAUCCUCUGACAGUAGUCUGCAAAAAAAGCAAAGCAAAGCGCGUCAACAACAACUGUGUAAGACUUCAUUUCUUUUGAAAAGGAAACCCACAGAGUCCAGGAUAACAUUUUCAACUCACUUAAAAUAAACCAUGUAUGGGGACUGAAUCCACUGUAAGUGGUCCCAAAUUAAAGACUUUCUGCAGUUAUGGUAAAUGAGAAAAAUGGACACCAAUUUCACUUGCUUACAUCAAGUCACUUCUGCUAGCUCACUUAAUAAACACACACCAAGUGGGAAACUCAGAAAUAGGAAAUGCAAACAACUAAUAAAAUAUACUUCGGGGACAUUUAAUAUAUAUAUAUUUUUAACAACAGGGUCAAUAUAUGUGCUUUGUACACAUCUCUUACUCUGUAAAUUUGAGUAUUUUAAUUAAAUUCCCAUGGACAGAGGGAGAGCAUAUUCUGUUGAUCUCAGUUUUCAUUUGUAAACUAGGGAUAUACACCUACUUCACCACGUUGUUUAAAGAUUAAGCUACAAAAGUAAAGUGCCUAACACUCCUGAGCAGGCAUAGACUGAUGUUAUUUUUCUUCCUUUUUUGAAUAUUUAAAGAGUCACUGUGAAUAUAUGUUGGUGAAGAUGGCUCUGGUCAUGACUUCCCACCUCUUGUUUCUAAUCAGUGCUGAGCCCACAACCAUCUGUAUUAGCACAUUUGGUAAGAAGUGUAGGGAAACAGGAAAUACCAAAGGCAAUUGUGACGAAUCUAUAUGUUCUUCUAAGAAGCUGACCACUGUUCACGAUAAAUUUCUCUUGAUUUAUUUUCAUCCCUGGACCUUUGUUCAGUAAGACCCCAUUUACCAUAAUAUAUAUUUCUUCUCUGUGAGUUUCACGUAAUUUCAUUCACCUAGGGUGAGUCCUUAUGAUGUGGGCACUAACCUAAUUUUAAACAUGAUAAACCUUUAUGUUAAAGUUCUUAAUUUAGUCCCCUUCUGCCUCUCUUACUGUACUUUGCACUAUGUAACGCUGGAUCUACCAAACCUUUGGAGUUUAAUCUGCUUCUCCAGGAUGCAAGUCAAAUCCCCUACUGUCAAUAAAGCACUAUGAUGAAAGAAAAUAAUCUGCACCCUUAGCGAUUACUGCAUUUGCUUCAUUUAUUCAACAAAUAUCUAUUAAGUGUCUACUAUGUGCCGAGGAUAUAGAGGAACAAAACAGACCCGUCUCAUUCUCGUGGUGGAGUUGGGAUGAUGGAGCUAAUACAAUGACCCCUACCUUCAAAAACUCAGUGCUGCUCCCCUGGAUAGAGUGAGGCUUAAACAUGAAAAUUUGAGGAACGCUGAGCAGGAAUAGAAGGAAAGCCUACAUUUUUAUCAUUUCAACCUCUUUGCUUUUCAGAGAAUAAUUAACUCCUUGGCUGUGAAUGAUGGAUGCAUGGAGAAUUCUACCUCUUGCCUGCAGGCUAUUUGCUAGCUUCUUUUAAUAUUUUUCCUAUAACCUUAAGAUCUAUGAAUAGAUUUGUUUGUUGUGGAGAAGAUUAAAUUAGAUGGCAUAAUCUCACAUUGGAGAGGGGCAUAUACUUAUUUAGGAAGUGAGUUUACAGUUCACAACCAGGAUGGCUCAAAGGGAUCUCAAACUGAACAUGUUCAAAACCUAAUCCCACAUCUUCCUCUACGCAGAUCCGCUACAUCCUACCUUCUCUGUGACGACUUUGAAAAGUGUCCAUGAAUUCUUUGACACUCUUUUCAAAAGGUGGAGCCUAAUUUCCCGUCCCUUAAGUGUGGACUGAUGAUUUGCUUCUAAAGAACAGAAUAAGGUGGAAUGGAUGGUAGGUGACUUCUAAGGCUAGGUCCUAAAAAGCACUGUGUGCUUUGUUCUCUCUUGGGUCUCUCAGUCUGGGAGAAACCAGCUACCCUGUUGUAAGGACAGUCAAGCAGCCCUGUGGAGAGUCCAUGUGGCAAGGAACUGAGGCUUCCUGUGAAAAUCCAGGAAGGAACUGAAGCCUUCUGCCAACAGCCAUGUGAACGAGCCAUCUUGGAGGCAGAUCCUGCAGCCUGGCUAAUGUCUUGAUGGCAACUUAACAAGAUACCUUAAGCCAGAACCAUCUAGCUAAUACACUCUUGAAUUCCUAUUACAAACACUGGGAAAUAAUCAAUGUUUGUUGUUUUAAGCUGCUAAACUUUGAUAUUAUUUAUUUUAUUCAUUUAUUUUUUG